rnacentral:rRNA from 1 species
AUUCUGGCUCAGGAUGAACGCUAGCGGCAGGCUUAACACAUGCAAGUCGAGGGGUAUUGGUUUUCGGACCAAGAGACCGGCGCACGGGUGCGUAACGCGUAUGCAAUCUACCUUUCACAGAGGGAUAGCCCAGAGAAAUUUGGAUUAAUACCUCAUAGUAUUAUAGAGUGGCAUCACUUUAUAAUUAAAGUCACAACGGUGAAAGAUGAGCAUGCGUCCCAUUAGCUAGCUUCCGUAAGGUAACGGCUUACCAAGGCUACGAUGGUUAGGGGUCCUGAGAACCGGGAGAUUCCCCCCACACUGGUACUGAGACACGGACCAGACUCCUACGGGAGGCAGCAGUGAGGAAUAUUGGACAAUGGGCGCAAGCCUGAUCCAGCCAUGCCGCGUGCAGGAUGACGGUCCUAUGGAUUGUAAAC